rnacentral:rRNA from 1 species
GACGAACGCUGGCGGCGUGCUUAACACAUGCAAGUCGAACGGAAAGGCCCUGCUUGCAGGGUACUCGAGUGGCGAACGGGUGAGUAACACGUGGGUGAUCUGCCCUGCACUUCGGGAUAAGCCUGGGAAACUGGGUCUAAUACCGGAUAGGAGCCAUUUUUAGUGUGAUGGUUGGAAAGUUUUUUCGGUGUAGGAUGAGCUCGCGGCCUAUCAGCUUGUUGGUGGGGUAAUGGCCUACCAAGGCGGCGACGGGUAGCCGGCCUGAGAGGGUGGACGGCCACAUUGGGACUGAGAUACGGCCUAGACUCCUACGGGAGGCAGCAGUGGGGAAUAUUGCACAAUGGGCGCAAGCCUGAUGCAGCGACGCCGCGUGGGGGAUGACGGCCUUCGGGUUGUAAACUCCUUUCGCUAGGGACGAAGCUUUUGUGACGGUACCUAGAUAAGAAGCACCGGCUAACUACGU